ACCCAAAUCUGCAACCCCUACCUAAAAGCAUAGACCUAGCUAUGGAUGCCUUCAAUCCGGCAUGCGCAAUUUACACACAUACGUCCUAGGUGCUUGUUUAGUGACACAACCUUGUUGAAAAGGCAAGCUUCACGGUCAGUCAGAGACAGGGUCUCAAAAAAUAUAUAGGAAAACAGCAGGGGAGGGCACGGAGGGUUCUGACUUCUGCGUGUGCACAGAUAGGUGUGCACACCAGACUUCUGCGUAUACACUCAUAGGUGUGCACACCUGUAUAUACACAGACACACGCUUAGUGUGUCAAAUUUCCAACCAGUUCAGUCUAUUGACAGAAUUCUAUAGGAAUCAAUGUGUGAUUUCAUCCACUCAGCUCACAUUUAUGAGGUGUGUGAUGUUGUGUAUUGAUCUAGGCGUGAUUGGAGAACCGUAGUGUGUACAUACAUGUCAUAGAGUGCACAUACAUGUCAUAGAGUGCACAUACACGUCAUAGUGUGCACAUACACGACAUAGUGUGCACAUGCAUGUGUUUGAUAGUCUAUAGAACUGUGACACUGCAUUUCAGACACUGACAUUUUUUAAAAGACAAUAAUAAAACCCAUCUUCAUAAUUGUGAUUUCUCAUGAUGGGGUCGUGGGAGUGAAAUCCCUUCCUCUCUCCGUCUAGGUGUUCAUCUACAUCAUCGUGUCUCCACUGUGCGGUGGCUUCACGUGGCCAAGCUGUGUGAAGAAAUAAAGGAAAAAAAUCACUGUUCACCAAGGAUGUGAGCAUGGAAGGAGGAAAAGCCAAUGCGUGUGGCCCUGGCUUUCACUUCUCUCAGCAAACGCCAUUUCUUUCAUCCUCUUUCCUUUUUCUCUUUGCCCAUCACACGGUUUGUGUUAACGAAUUUCACAUCGAGUCGUUGUGCACAGGAGAAAGGACAUCGUUUGUUCCUCCGAUUUGUUAAGUAGAAGCUUCUAGAAAGACAUCUUUGCUUCUAACAUGCAAAGCUUUUGCCAAAGUGGAAACGGCUGCGCUCACGACCUGUCUGUGAACUCACGACCUGUCUGCUAAACCUGUCUGUGACGUUGUGUGUUGACACAAAGCACUGGGAAACGGGUUGCACCGCUGACAUCUCACUUUAGUCUCUUUCGUUGUGGGAGAAUUUUGAGUGCUUCACAAUAAUGGAGAAAUUUGGGAAUUAUAAUAAAUUACAAUAAAUGGUCGGUGCUGCUUAUGUCCAGGAGCCCAUCCGGGUAACGGUUAACGUUGAAUUUUAUCUCAGUGAGGUGGGAAAUGCCUUCAAUACCUCAAGGACCAUGGGUUAGCUGGAUCCUAUGGUCCAAUGGGUAGAGCAGCCUGACGGCAGCCCAGACCUGUUGAAGAGCCGUGGGUUCCAGGCCCCACACAAGCGAGCAUUUUGAUUGACAGACCAUUAGAAGCACAAGGAUGACCCUUCCUUCUCCCAGCUUUGGCUUUCUGAAAUGAAGUCCCGGACAUUAUUUAUUCACUCUGCACAUAGUUUAACACUUUCUGUUUAUCCAUUACCAAUUCGAACUGAGAUUAAGUAAAGGAUUGGGGUUGGGGAUUUAGCUCAGUGGUAGAGCGCUUGCCUAGGAAGCGCAAGGCCCUGGGUUCGGUCCCCAGCUCCGAAAUAAAAGAACCAAAAAAAAAAAAAAAAGAAAAAAAGUAAAGGAUUGUGGGUUUUACAUAUUUUCCUUCCAUACAUAUUUGGGGCAAACGUGGUAAUAAAAUUCGUAAUGGAAGAGAGGGGAGGCCAAUGCCUCUGUGUCACCAAAGACAAAGAAUGGAGCCAUACUAGAAGUGCAUGCAUUUAACCUCACAACAUACAAUAAUGUGGGAUUUUUUUUUUUUCCCAUUCUGGGAAAAGCCCAAACUGAACACGGUCAGAAGUCAACUCCUCGAUUCAGAUUUGACUUUUUUGAAUAAUGGUUUGAUCUUUCUUUGUGAUUUACCUAAUCCUUCAAUCUGCCUACUUUUGAAUAAUUAAAUUUGAAUUCAAAUUACUUUUGAAUUAAAACAUGAAAGAGUUUUAAUACAUAGUAUAAUAAUAUAGAAACAAUAUAUAAUAUCUUAACAUAUAUUUAUUGUCAUAAGAAAAUCGGAGUGUGAUGUUGCUCCCUCUCCUUUGGCAUCAUUCAGUAGUCGGUGAUUAUCUGAGAAGAAGAAAAUUUUUUUCCUGCCUAUUAUUGAAUUUAUUUAUGAAAAGGUGAAACUGAACAGAAGUGAUGUCUCAUUUUACUCUCUUCCCAGUGAAACAAUAAAUUAGUAUCUUGAACUCAGCCCACUGUUAGCCUAGUCAUGUGCCUUGAAUAUCUGUGUCCUAUAAACAGGAACCUUCCACGUUCACAAUAACUGCUUGAUUUGUUUAGUAAUCGAAUGCACACAGGAACUCUUUUGGUCAUAGGGUAUAAUGCUGUUGUUCUUUCUAGACAUUUUUAUGAGCGCUGUUCAUUGUAAUUAUAUAAUUAUUUCCUAUUAGGAAAUACAUUCACUCUCAAAAGAAAAAAAUAGACAUUCCCAAAUAAUGAUUUCAAAUAAAGGCUUAAAAUUUAUUUCUCUUUCUUAUAAAAACUGAAUAAGAUUUUUGUGCAUGCUUUAGGGUUUAAUUACUUAAGAGUUUCUUGUUCUAUUUAUGAGUAGGAAUGCUUUCAAAGGCACAAGUAUCCAUGUAAAUGAUACACAAAUUAAAGACAUUAAUAAAAUUUAAGAAUACUA
rnacentral:lncRNA from 1 species